rnacentral:rRNA from 1 species
AGACCCGAAACCCGGUGAUCUAGCCAUGGGCAGGUUGAAGGUUGGGUAACACUAACUGGAGGACCGAACCGACUAAUGUUGAAAAAUUAGCGGAUGACCUGUGGCUGGGGGUGAAAGGCCAAUCAAACCGGGAGAUAGCUGGUUCUCCCCGAAAGCUAUUUAGGUAGCGCCUCGUGAAUUCAUCUCCGGGGGUAGAGCACUGUUUCGGCUAGGGGGCCAUCCCGGCUUACCAACCCGAUGCAAACUGCGAAUACCGGAGAAUGUUAUCACGGGAGACACACGGCGGGUGCUAACGUCCGUCGUGAAGAGGGAAACAACCCAGACCGCCAGCUAAGGUCCCAAAGUCAUGGUUAAGUGGGAAACGAUGUGGGAAGGCCCAGACAGCCAGGAUGUUGGCUUAGAAGCAGCCAUCAUUUAAAGAAAGCGUAAUAGCUCACUGGUCGAGUCGGCCUGCGCGGAAGAUGUAACGGGGCUAAACCAUGCACCGAAGCUGCGGCAGCGAACGUAUCACUUAAAGCGAUUCAGCGGGUUACGAUUGACGGAGCGAAGCGACGUCAAAGCGUAUACAAAGUCGAGUCGGUUUAAGGAUACGUUCGUUGGGUAGGGGAGCGUUCUGUAAGCCUGUGAAGGUGUGUCGUGAGGCAUGCUGGAGGUAUCAGAAGUGCGAAUGCUGACAUAAGUAACGAUAAAGCGGGUGAAAAGCCCGCUCGCCGGAAGACCAAGGGUUCCUGUCCAACGUUAAUCGGGGCAGGGUGAGUCGACCCCUAAGGCGAGGCCGAAAGGCGUAGUCGAUGGGAAACGGGUUAAUAUUCCCGUACUUGGUGUUACUGCGAAGGGGGGACGGAGAAGGCUAUGUUGGCCGGGCGACGGUUGUCCCGGUUUAAGCGUGUAGGUGUGUGUUCCAGGUAAAUCCGGUUCACUUUAACACUGAGGCGUGAUGACGAGGCACUACGGUGCUGAAGCAACAAAUGCCCUGCUUCCAGGAAAAGCCUCUAAGCAUCAGGUAACAUCAAAUCGUACCCCAAACCGACACAGGUGGUCAGGUAGAGAAUACCAAGGCGCUUGAGAGAACUCGGGUGAAGGAACUAGGCAAAAUGGUGCCGUAACUUCGGGAGAAGGCACGCUGACACGUAGGUGAAGUGAUUUACUCACGGAGCUGAA